rnacentral:rRNA from 1 species
UGGGUUCAGAACGUCGUGAGACAGUUCGGUCCCUAUCCGGCGUGGGCGUAGGACAUUUGAGAGGAGCUGUCCUUAGUACGAGAGGACCGGGAUGGACGGACCGCUGGUGUACCUGUUGUACUGCCAAGUGCAUGGCAGGGUAGCCAAGUCCGGAAGGGAUAAACGCUGAAGGCAUCUAAGCGUGAAGCCCCCCUCAAGAUGAGAUGUCCCAUCCGAAAGGAGUAAGACCCCUUGAAGACAACGAGGUAGAUAGGGCAGAGGUGGAAGUGCAGCAAUGUAUGGAGCUGACUGCUACUAAUCGGUCGAGGGCUUGACCUAAG